CAGGAGUCAUGAAGAUCGAUAGCACCGUCUGUUUCCUUCUCACUGCUACAAUCUACCCAGUGUCUGCCUGACACUCAGGUGGCUGGAGCCAGUGUUUACAGCAGGUUCCAGGCUCAGGGGCAGAUUCAUAUGAAAUCAGAUUGUGACUGCAUGUGAAUACUUUUGAUUAAUUCUCAUUAAGAAAUAAAAUAUAAAAAGGCUUACUGGAAAGAGACUCACAAGGAGAGUGGAGGUGUUCCUUGGAGACUCUGGCUGUUUAAGUGGCAACAUAUCUGGGGGACAAUGCAAAGAAGAGUGAAGCGAAAUAAAUGAGG